GGGGAUGAGCCUGCGUACCAUUAGCUAGUUGGUGGGGUAAGAGCCUACCAAGGCGACGAUGGUUAGCUGGUCUGAGAGGAUGAUCAGCCACACUGGAACUGGAACACGGUCCAGACUCCUACGGGAGGCAGCAGUGAGGAAUUUUGCGCAAUGGGGGAAACCCUGACGCAGCAACGCCGCGUGAGUGAUGAAGGCUUUCGGGUCGUAAAGCUCUGUCGAUCGGGAAGAAGGUGUAUCAACUGAACAGGUUGAUGUAUUGACGGUACCGAUGAAGGAAGCACCGGCUAACUCCGUGCCAGCAGCCGCGGUAAUACGGGGGGUGCAAGCGUUAUUCGGAAUUAUUGGGCGUAAAGGGCGCGUAGGCGGUUUUACAAGUCAGAUGUGAAAUACCUGGGCUUAACCGAGGAAGAGCAUUUGAAGCGGUGAGACUUGAGUAUGGGAGAGGGUAGUGGAAUUCCUGGUGUAGAGGUGAAAUUCGUAGAUAUCAGGAGGAACGCCUGUGGCGAAAGCGGCUACCUGGACCAAUACUGACGCUGAGGCGCGAAGGCGUGGGGAGCAAACAGGAUUAGAUAGCCUGGUAGUCCACGCAGUAAACGGUGAUCACUAGGUGUAGCGGGUAUUGACCCCUGCUGUGCCGCAGUUAACACAUUAAGUGAUCCGCCUGGGGAGUACGAUCGCAAGGUUAAAACUCAAAGGAAUUGACGGGGGCCCGCACAAGCGGUGGAGCAUGUGGUUUAAUUCGACGCAACGCGAAGAACCUUACCUGGGUUUGACAUCUUUGGAUCUUUAGAAAUAGAGAGUGCCCGCGAGGGAGCCCGAAG
rnacentral:rRNA from 1 species